ensembl:lncRNA
GGAUCUCUUAGGGCCAUAUUCACCCCGCAAAUACCCGGCCUGGUUAGUGUGGCAGGGAAUGUAUUAUCCGUACUGGGGGAUGAGUUUCAGUCCCCUGAGAGUCCUUGAGGGUCCCCAACACCCCUGGGCAGCCCCUCCAUGGGUGGUUAAAGAGCAGAGCGCCCCCAGCCACCUGGGCAGCAGGAAGUGCUGCUCCCGGCCCUGCAAGGAUUCCGAGUAGCCUGUGGAGUAGGCGCCCGCACUGGGAGCACAGCCCAAGGGGACCUGCUGGGGCUCGGGGCUGGGCGGCCUCCAGCAGAUUGGACGCCAGGAAGAUCGCCUCUGUAGACUGCAAGGCGCCUAGGCUCCAGACCCGGCUCUCCAGGAGACCCCAACGCCCUUUUAACUGCAGCCUGGCUCAGGUGCGUGUGGAGUGUGCAGAGUGCGGCAGUGGAGACCUGAAUAAGGGGAUAGGAUUGCUCGUCUGGAGUUCUGUAAUUCCCAGCUCCCGGCUGUUGCACGGACCCGCCCUGGUUCCUCUCUCCCGACGCGCACGCUGAUUUAGAGCCUGACUCUGGGGCCCGAAUGGAAGCUCUGUCUCCCCCAAACCACAUCUACAGACCAAGGACCCGGAGCGAAGGACUCCGGAGGGUCCUAUCCACCGGUCUCAUACUCUCCCCGCGCCCCCUCCCUCGCCGUACCUCUCGGUGCUCACCCCGAUAGCGCCUUCAGGAGGUCUGGCACUCCGAGCAUUUUCAAGUGCUCGCUUCUCACUUCUUCCUCCAGUUACGCUAGUGAGGCCGGCAACAACUCUCACCCCAUUUUACAGGGUAGAGAGCUUAAGCAGAUAGAGAUUGAAACAUUGUGUUAAAGGUGUGCGGGGAGUCAGGCCCACACCGGUGGACACCCUCACUGUCAUUCCUCCGCAGUGUCACAGGGGAAGAAAUGGAGUCACCCAUGUCCACAUGACGACAUAGCCCUGAAGAGGAGACGAGCCCAGGCCGCCCCUUGCAGCGCUCGGUUCUCGUCUGAACUCGCCUUUCUGACCGCAUUUGAGUCCUCUUUCCCCACCGAUCCCGCAGAACCCCACUGUCGGGGUUCCCGCCUCCUCCAGGACUCGGUUCCUCCAGCUGUACAGUGGACAGGCUGUACCCGGCUGUACUCAAGCCUUGGCCGCUAUGAAGCGACCGCCAACUCGAGGUCCCUCUCCUGCCCUCGCCCGCUGCUCCGCUCACUCCCACCCCCGCCCUCUGGAACUGGCAGGCCUGGAAGAGCCCGCGCCGCGGCGCCUACCGCAAAACCUUCUCCCGCCGCCGCCGCGUCCCGUGACCUUGACGCCACCGGCAAUCCCCGCACCGGACCCCUUAUCUAAAUAGGGCCGUAAAUCAAGGACCUGUCAGGGCCCGGGUGGUGAAACACAGGCCCAGAGCAUGAGGCACACAGCUAGAAAUCGAAGACCCUUCGCUGCUAAGGUUACCCGUUCUGGUUCGUCUCCCCCACACUCUCUGCUAAAGAAAAACUAAGAAAGAGAGAGAGGCAGCCUUAUCCAUUCUUUGGUUUGUAACAGCCUGCAAAAUACAAAAUCUAUUUAAGUUAACCGUGCAUCUCGGAGAUUGUUCCACCAUUACCCCAGGUGGCGAUUUGUUCUCGGUGAUCUUGGUUAAGGUGAGAACUGUCUCCCCAAAUGCCCUUCACGCAGGGUUUUUCAUUAGAGUUGGCGGGAAGAGGAAUUCAUGGAGAUUCCGAAGGCGGAAGUGAGCAGCGGCGUCCCUCUCUCGAGGUUGAACCGCUCCAGAUUGUGGUGGGCAGACGCCCUGCUGGGCAGACGCAGAGAUGACGGCUGCCUUUCCUCACUCUCUUCUCUCCACGUCCCGCUCCUUUUCCCGGCCAAUGGCCCAGCAGACUGACAGGGGUGGGACCCACCAGGGAGGGCGGACAGUAGAGACACGGCCACCGAGGCACAGCUCCCCACUGGGCAGCCCCUUCCCUGGUUCCUCAGAUCCCCUGGGCCCCUCUUCUCCUCCAGCCCCCUCCUGAAUCCCACUCCCCCAAUGGUUUGAGGGUGUGAUUCCCACAACAAAUCCCUAUUCCAGAAAUCGCAGGGGGUUUGUUUCCCCGAGGGAGCCCUAUUUCUCCCACCUUCUGCCUCAUCCUUUUUUUCAAUUGUCGUAAAAUACACAUAGCACAAAAUUUACCAUCUUAACCAUUUUUAAGAGUACAGUUCACUAGUGAUUUAAGUACAUUCACAUUGUUGUGCAGCCCAUCUCCAGAACUCUCUCCAUCUUGCAAAACUGAGACUUGGUGCCCAUUAAGCAAUAAUUCCCAUUCCCCACCCCCCACCCCCAGCCCCAGGCAUCCACCACUCUGCUUUCUGUGUCUAUGGAUCUGAUGACUCCAGGAGCCUCAUAUAAAUGGAAUCAUGCAGGAUCUGUCAUUUUGUGACUGGCUUAUUUCACUCAGCAUAGUGUCCUCCGGGUUCAUCCAUGUUGUAGGAUAUGGCAGAAUUUCCUUCCUCUUUGAGGCUGAAUAAUAUUCCAUUGCAUGGAUGGACCACACUUUGCUAUCCAUUCCGCUGUCGUUGGACACUCGGCUUGUUUGCACCUCUUGGUUGUCGUGAGUCAUGUGGCUGCCGCCUUCGUCCUGAUGGCUGGGCAGUGCUCCACUGAGGUAGAGAGCAAGGUUAGAGCACAGGCUUCGGAGCCAGAGGGACACAGGUUGGAAUCCCGCCUCCACCCUGGGACACUCUGUGGAACCUCGGGCACAUAUAAGUGUUCAAGAAGGAGACCUGUCGUUGCCCUCACUAUGGCCAUCUCUGGGAGAGGUUCUCCUCAAAGCCGUAGCCACAGCUCGUCCCCUGAGUGGUCCUGCUCUCAGCAGCCCUAAGGCUCCCCGCUACCUCCUUCGCUUGGCGCUCUGGGCCCCCCGACCUGUCUCAGUCUGUAUCGGCCUUCCAUUCACACUGCACCACACUGAGCGGGGGAACAGACUCUCCCCUUCAUCUGGCCCUCGGCGCGGACUGCCGUGUGUGCAGGUGUCUGCCCUCCACACCGAGGGGACCAGGUCACCUGUGGAGUCACUUGCCUCCAGAACGUUCCAGCCAUUAUCUGAAGACAUCAGGCUGGGGGGCAGCUCUGCCCUCAAGCCCCAGGACCCUCCAGCUGCCAAAGCAGGGAGGUUUUCUCGGAGCAGCCGUUCUCUCGUUUGCCUUUUCACAUUCUGGGGUUCAGAGCACUGGACCAGGAGUCAACACACUCAAGCUUUCAUGUCACCCUGUGCCAGCCUGUUCUGUGGAUUCAGACAAGCCCCUUGCCUCUAUGGUCCUCCUUUUCCUCUCUGGAAAAUGCAGGAGUUGACUGGAUGGUCUCGAAAUGCUCCCCCAGUGUACCGAGGCUCUGAUUUCCAUCUGCCUCCUUUGGUCAACGUUCAUUUAUCCUUCUACUCACCCACCCACCAUCCAAUGACCUCUCUUUAUUCUUUCAUCUUCACUGGUGUUUCUUCUCAUUUCAAUGUGUCAUGCUUGCACGUGGCAAAAUUAUCAGGGUAGGGCUUAGAAGGCAAACAUCCCUCUUAGUCACAUCCUCUAUCAGUGGAUCUCAAUGGGGGAGGGGGUGGGUGCCUCCCAGGGACAUUUGGGGAUGUCUGGAGACAUUUUUGGUUGUCACAGCCUGGGGGUGGGGAGGCCAUGCUACUACUGGCAUCUAACGAACAGAGGCCAGGGGUGCUGCUCAACGUCCUGCGGUGCACAGGACAGGCCACAACAAAGAAUGAUCCAGCCUGUGAUGUCAAUAGUGCCAAGGUCGAGAAACCCUGUUCUAGAUAUCAAUGCUGUUAACAUUCGCAAGUGUAUUUUUCCAAAAAUGUCUAUGAAUAUACAAACAUAAGUGUGUGUAAUUUUUAAACUGAGAUGGGCUCUAAUUGCAGUUUGCUUUGUUCCUUUAAUAACAUUGGCGG